rnacentral:lncRNA from 1 species
CAAGAAUCAAGCCCAAGCAGGAAAAGAAAGACAACUAUGAUGGCAUUAUCAGAGAGCCUGAAACCUUGGGGAAGCAGUCACUGGAGAAAGGACAGAAAAGCUUCAAGUACUUUCCUUAGUUAACCAGUACCCUGCUAUGGAGACUUUUACAAUACUUCUGUGGGUGCAGGCAAUGUUGUAAGAUGGGAGGGCUUAUAGCACAGUCUAGAGGCAGAACUGGCAUGUCCUCAUCUACCACAGACCAAAAGCCCAGAUAAAAGUCUGCAAAUGGACCAAGAUUGGGGUCAGAAACAUAGAGCAAGGUGCUUGUUUUUGACACCUCUUAAAGAGGCCCUGAGGUCCUUGAGAGAAUUCACCUGAUAAAGAAGCAAAUGCUGCUGCUCUGUCUUUGGUUUAGAAGAGGACAACAUGGGCUGAGUCCUGCUAUUGGUAAUGGAUCUGCCAAGCUCCAUCCCUCCCCUAACUGGAACCCUGGCAAUCCACAUGCGAUGCUGCAAUUAACAAGCCCUGGGAGAACAGAGCUCCAUUAUGACAAGUUCAGCUGUGGGAAAGCAACCAACAAAACACCACUUCUGAGAAAGGGGAAGCGAUGUCAGGGAGUGUCAUCUGCUGACGUUUGUUCCCACUCUUAACUCCCCUCCCACUCACAGAACUAGCAGCUUUCCUGUCCUUUGACCUCUGAACUCCAAAAGAAUGGCAAGGGCCGGUGGAAUAGGAGUUUCUGAGGGUCCGGUGUCUAUGGCAUGUAUUUGACAGCUCUGAUGAAAAGUAUGAGCUGGGAAUUAGACUUUCCCUAGCAGAGAUAUUUGUGGAUAAAGAACCUGCUUAAAACGGUGAGGCAGUCAGAGUGUCAGAGGACUGGGAGACUGAGACUGACAUGUAGGCAACAGCAGCAGAAACUGGGGACCUGUAGCUGGGAAAAGAGACGAGUUGGAGGCUACAAAAUAGGUAUCUUCACACAAGAAAAGGAAUGUUGUCUGCGAAGGGACAAUUUAUCAAGGUAACAGCACCGGAACUUUGUGCAGAAUCUAGCCAUCCAUCCAUCCGUGCAUCCAUUCAUCCAUCCGUCAUCUAUGCAGCAGUUUUAUAGCUAACUAUGGAAAAACGAGCUUUGUGAUAUGUCAUUUCUAGCAACAGCCAGCAGGUGGGUAAAAGUUUUAGGCAUGUAAAGGACCCCCCAGAUCACACUGCUUUCCUUAUAAUUCAAAAUGUCUUCAUAGCUUAUGUCCAGUGCCUUAUUGUCCUAUGUAAGUAGUAAAACAGAAACAACAAUGAACAGACAAAAUUUGUUAAUUAUUAAUAUCGCGGACUUGAAGACUAGGGAUCUUUUCUAGAAGGUAUGCCUACAUUGUUCAUUAUUAGAAAGCACAGAUUCAAGUUUCCCCUUAGCUCCAUUCCAUAUUCUGCCUCUACC